rnacentral:rRNA from 1 species
UGGGGAAUAUUGGACAAUGGGCGCAAGCCUGAUCCAGCAAUGCCGCGUGGGUGAAGAAGGCCUUCGGGUUGUAAAGCCCUUUUGUACGGGAAGAAAUCCCAUUCGUUAAUACCGGGUGGGGAUGACGGUACCGUAAGAAUAAGCACCGGCUAACUUCGUGCCAGCAGCCGCGGUAAUACGAAGGGUGCAAGCGUUAAUCGGAAUUACUGGGCGUAAAGCGUGCGUAGGUGGUUUGUUAAGUCUGAUGUGAAAGCCCCGGGCUCAACCUGGGAAUGGCAUUGGAUACUGGCUUACUAGAGUGCGGUAGAGGGUAGCGGAAUUUCCGGUGUAGCGGUGAAAUGCGUAGAGAUCGGAAGGAACAUCCGUGGCGAAGGCGGCUACCUGGACCAGCACUGACACUGAGGCACGAAAGCGUGGGGAGCAAACAGGAUUAGAUACCCCUGUAGUCC